GAUGAAGAACGUAGCGAAAUGCGAUACGUAAUGUGAAUUGCAGAAUUCAGUGAAUCAUCGAGUCUUUGAACGCACAUUGCGCCCCCUGGUAUUCCGGGGGGCAUGCCUGUCCGAGCGUCAUUGCUGCCCUCAAGCACGGCUUGUGUGUUGGGCCUCCGUCCUCCUCCCGGGGGACGGGCCCGAAAGGCAGCGGCGGCACCGCGUCCGGUCCUCGAGCGUAUGGGGCUUCGUCACCCGCUCUUGUAGGCCCGGCCGGCGCUUGCCGUCACAUCAAUCUUUUUUCCAGGUUGACCUCGGAUCAGGUAGGGAUACCCGCUGAACUUAAGCAUAUCAAUAAGCGGAGGA
rnacentral:misc_RNA from 1 species